UACAGAGGUCUCAAGCGUUGUUCGGAUUCAUUGGGCGUAAAGGGUGCGUAGGCGGCGCGGUAAGUCGGGUGUGAAAUCUUGGAGCUUAACUCCGAAACUGCAUUCGAUACUGCCGUGCUUGAGGACUGGAGAGGAGACUGGAAUUUACGGUGUAGCGGUGAAAUGCGUAGAUAUCGUAAGGAAGACCAGUGGCGAAGGCGGCUCUCUGGAACGGUACUGACGCUGAGACGCGAAAGCGUGGGGAGCGAACAGG
rnacentral:rRNA from 1 species